UGACCUCGAAUCAGAUGAGAUUACCCGCUGAACUUAAGCAUAUCAAUAAGCGGAGGA
rnacentral:rRNA from 1 species